UCCACUGUUUUCACUCAAACUGAAAUUCCAAAUCAACAAGGACUGAAAUCUCAAGACUUGCCACUUUAAAGUAUAGCUACAGUAUUUCUAUGUUCUGGUCUCCAGUCCAGUAGUCGGCGGAAAUACACCUAUAGGAUGGUUGGCCAGCCACCGUUACAACCCAAAGAAAAAGAAGAGCAAGUCACCCAAUGACUAAGGACAUUACUGACUGUAAACCAUCCGUCAACCAAUCAGAAGAGGCGUUGGUGCUGAUAUGACUUUAGCGGGUACACUUUCGACAAAGAGGUUUCGGCCAACACUCGAUAGCAUAGCGAAGUUUACAAGCAUCGUUUGGUAGACAGAAAGUCUGUGCGAUUGAAAGUACGGGCUCAAACGGUACCGCGGAUUUGUUUGUCUAGUAAAUUAUGUCAUAAAAAACAACAUGCGGGCUUUUCUUACGUCUCGUUAUUUUCUUACUUCGCUUACUUUUCGGUCACAAUGCUAACUAGCCAGCUCAUGCUAACGUCAGCUAAGUAGAACAUAAUUUUGAUGUUGCAUCGUGGUGGAACAUUACCCUCUCUUUUCGUCACGUUAAACAGCUGAUAAACAAGAGCAGAAAGCACCAUCAUUUUUGGAUGGCAGUUGCCCCUUCCUGGAUGGCGGAUAAGAUCAUAGUCCUUGACGAUGACGACGAAGAGGAGAGUCCUCAACCCUCCUUUGCUGCCUCCACCUCCGCCUCGUCCUCUAAGAGUCAAGCCAAACGUGUCUCAGCGAUCAAAGCUCCGCAGCCCGCCCCUACCCACAUUACCCAGUCCCCUUUUGCCUCCGCGAAGAAGCAGACUCAUGUUCUACAGGCAGAGAAUCAAAAGUUGUUCGCUGAGUUUGUGGAACACUGCUCAGCUCUCACCCAGACGUGCCCCGAGGUCUUGACCUUCCUCCAAACCAAACACGACAAGGCCUCCCCUGACUAUCUGACGUCCGUGGAGUUCAGGAACACCUUGGGCCGAUGUUUGACUCGCGCCCAAGCCAACCAUUCCAAAACCUUUGUCUACAUCAGUGAACUGUGCACUGCACUCAAGCAGCAUGCAGCCAAGCGGAGGCUGACCCUCACCAAGGUUAACCCCGGGCCCUCUACCUCAUCGUCAAGUUCUGUCUCUGCUACGCUCAAAAGGAAAGACGAGGCUGAAGUUAAGAGGGUUGAGGAAGAGGAAGGAGUGAAUAGGACAGCGGAGGAUAAGCCAUCUACCUCAGGGCUGCAGGAUGGCAAUAAUGAGGAGGCAGAGAAAAAGGCCAAGAGGGCAUCUAGGAAACAGAUAGCGUACCUGGAGAACCUACUGAAGGUGUACAAUGACGAGAUCUGCCGCCUGCAGCAGGCUGAGCUGAGUUUAGACGACCUGGGAACGGAGGACUCCCUAUACAUCCAGGAACACAAGCUCAAACGCAAGAUGAUGAAGAUUUAUGAAAAGCUGUGUGAACUAAAGAACUGCAGCACGCUAACGGGCCGAGUCAUUGAGCAGAAGAUCCACUACAGCGGCACUCGCUAUCCUGAGAUCAACAGGAAGAUUGAGCGUUUCAUCAACAGUCCUGAGGCCCUGAGGAACCCUCCAGAUUACCCAGACAUCCUCCAGCAGGUGCUGCGUGCCAAUGAGCGCCACAAUCUGUCCCUGAGCCGAAAACAGCUGAACCAGUACGCCCAGGAGGCUUUCAGGGAGACCGGGAGCAAAAUCCAGGAGAGACGUCACCUGGACCUGGUGUACAACUUCGGCUCGCGCCUCACUGACCCCUACAAGCCUGCCACGGACCCGGCUCUGGCGGACCCUUCGCUGCUGCGGAAGCUUCGGGCGAACCGAGAAGUGGCUCUGUCCCGCCUGGAAGAGGUCAUCACUAAGUUUGCCGUCAAACAAGAUGACACGGAGGAGCACGAACGGGCCAAACGACUGGAGAAAGACGGCAAGGAGAAAGAGGCCCACAAAUCAGAGAACGGAGAAGUAAAAAAAGAUGUGAACGGCGUGGCGGCGGAGGUGGAGGACGAAGAAGAAGAGGAGGAUGACGAUGAAGAAGAUGAAUCAUCAGACCCAGACAUCGAGGAAGAAAUCCAGGCCAGCACGCAGCAGGAUGGACCAGACGAUGAUGAGAACGAUGAAGACGACAGCAACGAGGCGGAACCAGCAUGCGACGGCACCAACAAGGAGGAUCCCACGGAUCAGCAGACGAGAAGCGUUUCUCCAGGGGAGGAAGGAAGCGGCAAAGACGAGGACGAGGAGCCAGUCACAAGUGGACUCAGUCCUCUUUCUGAUGACAGCGAGUCUCUAAUCCCCCCGCUGUCGGCCCUCCCCUCCCCUAGACAGAGCCCCAGCCAAUCGGAGCCAGCGCAGACAGACACCCAGACGCCGUUGUCUAAUGGUAAACCUGCAGGAUCGGAGGAGCCCGUGGAUUCCUCCAAUCACGUUCCGGUCAUGCUGGUGAGCAACAGCAGCGUCGCUAAGGACUCUGCCGCCGCUGUCGUCUCUGCCCCAGCGGCCAAUGGAGUGUCUCCGCCCCUGUCGCCAGCAGUCGUGGUAGAAAACUGUGACACACAAACCACCAAUGGAACGCGCCGCCGCCGCCGCCCAGCCCCAAGGCCACAAGGGGCACGAAGAGGAAGAGGGGGGAAGUAACGCCAGGGAACUCCCAAAAGCACAUGCUCAUCCAUGACAGUGAGGUAGAUAUCCCUCUGGAAAUGGGUGUUUUCAGCUGCAAUUCUCCGCAGCAUGCAGAGUCGACUCGAGCAGACACGCCAACCCAGGAAAUGGUCAGCAGCUCCCAGUCGACCCCGCCUCCAAAGAAAAACAAGGUCAACGUGGCCACCCAGUGUGACCCUGAUGAGAUCAUCAUCCUGUCGGACUCAGAAUAACCUUUUUACCUCUGACCUCUCACUGAACUCCGAGACUCUUCCACAUCCGGUUUCCUGAGAGGAUGCAUUUCUAAGGACCGUAAGAAGAGUGAAAAAAAGCAUCCAUACUUUUUUUUUUUUUUUUUCUUCCCAAACAACAAUUGUGAAAUUUCUGUUAUAAACAUGAUCUUAACAGUAAAUGAUUUUUGACAAAAUACAAUGCUGUUCUUGGCUGUGGAAGUCAGGGACAACAAUUAAUUAUGUACCUCGUGUCACUUGAUUCCAUAUUACCAUAUCUUUUGAGGAAAUUCAAGGAGUCUUCUUCUUCUGCUGUGUUCCUUAGAGAACACUGCAGUCCUUUCAGUCUGACCAGAGAAACGUUGGCUGAUGUUGACCUCGGAAGGCUCGCUCUUUUUGCGGUAGAGAUGACUAAUUGGACGAUCCAAGCAGGCAAACGCUCCGUCACCGCGUUUUCCUGCCGUCAGUGCAACGUUUCAGUCGGUCGUAGCGUUGAAAUGUUUUUUUUUUUUUUUUUUUUUUUUUUUUUGUGCUUCUCCGAACGCAGAGCUAAAAACACUUAUCUUGGGGCGAUUGUCCCUCAACUUGAACGUGUGUUAGUGUGAUUUUAGGUAAGAACCCAGUGCCUGAGAACAAGAACAUGUACUGUGCAGCCGGACGCGUGGCCCAGAAGGGGGAGGGGAGAGUUUUGUUUUCACAGACACUCGACUGGCAAGGGCUUCGUUAGCUCACUGCCAGUUUGUUUACAUUUCUGUAUUAUAGAUGCAUUUCUUUUCAUAAAGGAAAGAGUGGAGGUAGUGGUUUGUGUAAAGGUAUCUUGAGAGGACUUUGUUUUACCCGCUAUUUAUGAUGCGUUGACGCUGAGCUGUGCGGUGGUUUGUACUCCACUGUCAGCGAAACGUGUGGACCGCAGCAGUGACAUUGGAGCCUGACGUUUUUUAAUGUUUUCUUUUUUUUUAUGUUUCCCCUCCAAAAAACGUAUUUCUAUUUUCAGGUUUCUAAUAAUAAAGUAUGUUUCUAUUUUUUAUUCAGACUUUUGUCUGCUGCAGGAUAGCUGGAUAGUUUCCAGAUAGCUUAAAAAAAAAAAAAGAGAGAGAGAGAGAACGGAAGUUAGGAUUGAAGUAGCUUGUUUAAUGCAUCUCAAACAGAGUUGUGUCCCAAUGGCGCUGACCUCUGCCUCUGCCCGGCUACAAGAACUACUUUUAUUUACCCCCCAGUUUAAGCCCAGCCCAAAUCCCAACUCCCCACAGGAAUUAUUUGUAUAAAUCCAAACAAAAGUCAAAACCAUCAAUGCCAUUUUCUUUGUUUUAACCAAACCUGGCCCAGUUAAGGAUCCUAAACACCCGAGAGUAAUAACUAGAAGGAAAUGUUAGUCUGACCUGCAAUUAAUCACUUUCAUACAAAAUAUGUUCCUGAGUUGUUGGGGCAGCUAUUAAAUUUCUGUCCCCUCCUGUCGAUACACCUCAUGUUAAGAUAAAUUUGGCAUUAGUUAUAGUUUCUACAUUAAGAAUAAAGUUUAUUUAUUCCUAGUUAUUAAAUAUAGUGUUGCACUUAAGAUCUCUAGCAUUUGAGAGUUUUUUUUUGUGUGUGUGACCGACCAGUGUCUAAUGCGUCCUUUUAUUAUAACUAGUUGUCUGGCUGGUCCCUCUGUAAUUGAGCACUGUUACAGAAGUCUUUUGUCGAAGGGUAAUUUCUCAACUUUCAUCCUGUCUUACCUUUUUUUUUCCUCCAGAAUCCCAUUUUUAUUAAUUGUACCACAGGUUAAAAUUAUAUUUUGGGGGUAAAAAGCCUUUUCAAUUUCACGAAAAUGUAGGCUAGUCUUGGAAUGUAGCUAUGAUCUAUCGGGCCUCAUAUAUGCAGAGGAGUGAUCCAUCAUUCACUGUGAAAUUUUUCUUCUUAAUUUUUGAUAAAUAAAAGAUAUGUUUUUAUACA